GGGAAGCACAAAGGAGAAUUUGCCUCUAUGCUUCCUGGUUCCUGGCAGCGGUCCUCCUCAUGGAGUCAUGGAGGAGCUGUUCCAGGAUCGUUGGCAGGGCAGAGGCAGGCCUUGGCUUCUGCAGGGUGAGCAGAACUGAAGAAGGCGGAAGAUACAGAUGGUAUUUUAUUCCUGGCUUUGUCUGGCAUGCUGAAUGAUCGGUGUGCUGACAGUGAUAUGUGGCAGGACAUCUGGGGCAAGGUCAAGCUAAUUUACUCCCAUGUGAGUGAGUCCAGUGUGCUUGUCGUGAAUGACAGCUGGGCCCUGAUGGAUGUCAAGUGGUUGCAAGAGCUCCAAGGCAGGAACCUUCUUCUAGGCAAAAGCAACCUAAGACGUUGUCCACAGAUGCCUACAGGAGAAAAUCCAAAUUCCUUAACAUGGGUACAUACCUCCUUCACAAGUUUGCACUGUAUCCUGCUUCAGCAUCAUUUUUUUUGCCAAACCCGACUUGCACUCCCAUUCUCCAGCCACACCAAGCUAUUUGCCAAAUGGGCCCAGUGUUUAUAAACCUCAGCCUGGAAUGUCCUUCCAUGCCCUGGUUAACGCUUACUCAUGUUACACGACCCAACUGAAGCUCUUCUUGGCCCUCCACACCUUUUUGUGGAGUGCUGUGUCUCCUGCUUUGUGGCCCUCUGUACCUGUAAAUACUUCCAUAGUUGUACCAAUAACGUCUCUUUUUCUCUGGCUGUUUACAUAUCUGACAGUCCUUCUGUCUAUAAGUUCUUUUGAGGCAAGGCCGGUUUUUUUCCAGCUUUGUAUGUCCACUGCAGAUGCUCAAUUAAUGUUUUCUUAAAAUUAAUAAAUUAAAAAGUUGAAUGACUGGUUAAUUAGUUGUUCCCAAUUCUCAACUUUCUCAUAUUAAUGGAAGCUUUUUAGGGCUUUAUUUUUGUUUGUUUGUAAGU
rnacentral:lncRNA from 1 species